rnacentral:rRNA from 1 species
GCCCCAGUAAACGGCGGCCGUAACAAUAACGGUCCUAAGGUAGCGAAAUUCCUUGUCGGGUAAGUUCCGACCUGCACGAAUGGCGUAACGACUUCCCCGCUGUCUCGGCCAGAGACUCAGCGAAAUCAAACUCCGGGCGAUGAUGCCCGGUACCUGCAGCAAGACGGAAAGACCCCGUGAACCUUUACUAUAGCUUGACAGUGGGUUUCGGACAGAUUUGUGUAGGAUAGGUGGGAGGCAGUGAAGUCGGGUCGCCAGAUUCGACAGAGCCAACCUUGAAAUACCACCCUGAUCUGGCUGGAAUCCUAACCUAGUACCGUUACCCGGUACAGGGACACUGUCUGGUGGGUAGUUUGACUGGGGCGGUCGCCUCCCAAAAUGUAACGGAGGCGCGCGAUGGUUCCCUCAGGCUGAUCGGAAACCAGCCGUAGAGUGCAAAGGCAUAAGGGAGCUUGACUGUGAGAGCGACAGCUCGAACAGGCACGAAAGU